CACACACCAUAUAGCGUUUCCAGUAGACGCCAUUUUUUCAAAGGACGAUAACUCCAAUAUACAGUAAAAUUGUGCAAAAUCGGCCAUCUUGACCACAUCGGAUGACAACGUCAGAUUGUUGAUAUUGAAUUUGUUCACUAUAUAGUACAUCAUUGGAUUUGAUCACAGUAUUUACGAUACCCUUGUUUAUCCUGUGGACUUUUUCUGAUGUUCAUGUGCAUGUGAACAUUUAUACAGUUGUACAACUAUAUUAAGGUCCAGUAUUGGCAAGACGAUUGUGAAAGAGACGAAGAUUUAUAUGAAUUGACAGAGCAAGAAUUCAAAUCAGACUUAAGAGAAGGAAAUUUAUUCAUAAUAUAUAACACUGAUCUAGACCACUGCUACGGUAUACCUUGAAACAGACUAUAAAGGUAGAGUGAUCUUUUCCUUAAAUUGAGUUGUCCUUCCUUUCAACUAAAAGUUUCAUAUUUCUCUUUGGAUUACCUCCCUUUGUGUUGAACUAUUGUUUAUUACACUUUUAUAAUAAAAUUAAUUUCUGAUCAUUAUGUUUAUGAAAAUGU